rnacentral:lncRNA from 1 species
UUUGAUCCUGAAACAAAAGACUCUAACAUGUAAGCUACAAGCAUAAUUAUACAAUACCAGAACAAUCCUUUUAAACUCUUUGCAACUCCUGACUGUGCAACAUGUGCCUUAACGGAGAACUUACAAUCGCCAAGCGCAGACACGGCAAUAAACUUGAAAUUAACUUAAACUUGAAACUUACAUUUCACCAGAGGAUCUUAUACUAACGGUCAAGAUCUGCAUCGAAGGCCUCCAAUCGUC